CCUACGGGAGGCAGCAGUGGGGAAUAUUGCACAAUGGGGGAAACCCUGAUGCAGCGACGCCGCGUGAGUGAAGAAGUAUUUCGGUAUGUAAAGCUCUAUCAGCAGGGAAGAAAAUGACGGUACCUGAUUAAGAAGCCCCGGCUAACUACGUCCCCGCAGCCGCGGGACUACGUAGGGGGCAAGCGUUAUCCGGAUUUCUUGGGUGUAAAGGGGGCGUAGACGGCAGCACAAGUCUGGAGUGAAAUGCCGGGGCUUAACCCCGGAACUGCUUUGGAAACUGUGCAGCUAGAGUGCAGGAGAGGUAAGUGGAAUGCCUAGUGUAGCGGUGAAAUGCGUAGAUAUUAGGAGGAACACCAGUGGCGAAGGCGGCUUACUGGACUGUAACUGACGUUGAGGCUCGAAAGCGUGGGGAGCAAACAGGAUUAGAUACCCCUGUAGUC
rnacentral:rRNA from 1 species